rnacentral:rRNA from 1 species
GGAAGUAAAAGUCGUAACAAGGUCUCCGUUGGUGAACCAGCGGAGGGAUCAUUACCGGGUUUAC